GUGGGGAAUAUUGGACAAUGGGCGAAAGCCUGAUCCAGCCAUGCCACGUGUGUGAAGAAGGUCUUCGGAUUGUAAAGCACUUUAAGUUGGGAGGAAGGGCAGUAAGUUAAUACCUUGCUGUUUUGACGUUACCGACAGAAUAAGCACCGGCUAACUUCGUGCCAGCAGCCGCGGUAAUACGAAGGGUGCAAGCGUUAAUCGGAAUUACUGGGCGUAAAGCGCGCGUAGGUGGUUUUGUAAGUUGGAGGUGAAAUCCCCGGGCUCAACCUGGGAACUGCCUCCAAAACUGCAUGACUAGAGUACGGUAGAGGGUAGUGGAAUUUCCUGUGUAGCGGUGAAAUGCGUAGAUAUAGGAAGGAACACCAGUGGCGAAGGCGACUACCUGGACUGAUACUGACACUGAGGUGCGAAAGCGUGGGGAGCAAACAGGAUUAGAAACCCUUGUAGUCC
rnacentral:rRNA from 1 species